rnacentral:rRNA from 1 species
UACGAAGGGGGCUAGCGUUGCUCGGAAUCACUGGGCGUAAAGCGCACGUAGGCGGCUUUCUAAGUCGGUGGUGAAAUCCUGGAGCUCAACUCCAGAACUGCCUCCGAUACUGGAGAGCUCGAGUCCGGGAGAGGUGAGUGGAACUGCGAGUGUAGAGGUGAAAUUCGUAGAUAUUCGCAAGAACACCAGUGGCGAAGGCGGCGCACUGGCCCGGUACUGACGCUGAGGUGCGAAAGCGUGGGGAGCGAACAGG